rnacentral:tRNA from 1 species
UUCCCACGCCGGGAAUCGAACCCGGGCCUUCUGGGUAAAAGCCAGAUAUCCUAGCCACUAUAUAAAAUCAAAAGA